UACGUAGGGUGCGAGCGUUGUCCGGAAUUAUUGGGCGUAAAGAGCUCGUAGGUGGUUUGUCGCGUUGUUCGUGAAAACUCACAGCUUAACUGUGGGCGUGCGGGCGAUACGGGCAGACUAGAGUACUGCAGGGGAGACUGGAAUUCCUGGUGUAGCGGUGGAAUGCGCAGAUAUCAGGAGGAACACCGGUGGCGAAGGCGGGUCUCUGGGCAGUAACUGACGCUGAGGAGCGAAAGCGUGGGGAGCGAACAGG
rnacentral:rRNA from 1 species